GAGUUUGAUCCUGGCUCAGAUUGAACGCUGGCGGAAUGCUUUACACAUGCAAGUCGAACGGCAGCACGGGAGCUUGCUCCUGGUGGCGAGUGGCGAACGGGUGAGUAAUGCGUCGGAACGUACCGAGUAAUGGGGGAUAACGCAGCGAAAGCUGUGCUAAUACCGCAUACGCCCUGAGGGGGAAAGUGGGGGAUCGCAAGACCUCACGUUAUUCGAGCGGCCGACGUCUGAUUAGCUAGUUGGUGGGGUAAUGGCCUACCAAGGCGACGAUCAGUAGCGGGUCUGAGAGGAUGAUCCGCCACACUGGAACUGAGACACGGUCCAGACUCCUACGGGAGGCAGCAGUGGGGAAUUUUGGACAAUGGGGGCAACCCUGAUCCAGCCAUUCCGCGUGAGUGAAGAAGGCCUUCGGGUUGUAAAGCUCUUUCAGCGGGAACGAAACGGUACGCUCUAACAUAGCGUGCUAAUGACGGUACCCGCAGAAGAAGCACCGGCUAACUACGUGCCAGCAGCCGCGGUAAUACGUAGGGUGCGAGCGUUAAUCGGAAUUACUGGGCGUAAAGCGUGCGCAGGCGGACUGUUAAGCAAGAUGUGAAAUCCCCGGGCUUAACCUGGGAAUGGCAUUUUGAACUGGCAGUCUAGAGUGUGUCAGAGGGGGGUGGAAUUCCACGUGUAGCAGUGAAAUGCGUAGAUAUGUGGAGGAACACCAAUGGCGAAGGCAGCCCCCUGGGAUAACACUGACGCUCAUGUACGAAAGCGUGGGUAGCAAACAGGAUUAGAUACCCUGGUAGUCG
rnacentral:rRNA from 1 species